ensembl:snoRNA Small nucleolar RNA SNORD67
UGGGAUGAUGAGGAGAUCCUGUUUGGUGGAGGAGAUCCUGCAGUGGCGGGAGCCUCCACUCAGAGUCCUGACGACAUGCACAGGGGCCAUCUGACCAGCC